CUACUGGGGUAUCUAAUCCUGUUUGCUCCCCACGCUUUCGUGCCUGAGCGUCAGUAAUGGUCCAGUUGGGCGCCUACGCCACUGGUAUUCCUCCUAAUAUCUACGAAUUUCACCUCUACACUAGGAAUUCUCCCAACCUCUACCAUACUCUAGAAAGGCAGUUUCAAAAGCAGUUCCGGGGUUGAGCCCCGGGAUUUCACUUCUGACUUGCCAAUCCGCCUGCGCACGCUUUACGCCCAGUGAUUCCGAACAACGCUCGCUCCCCCCGUAUUACCGCGGCUGCUGGCAC
rnacentral:rRNA from 1 species